rnacentral:rRNA from 1 species
GGUUAAGCGACUAAGCGUACACGGUGGAUGCCCUGGCAGUCAGAGGCGAUGAAGGACGUGCUAAUCUGCGAAAAGCGUCGGUAAGGUGAUAUGAACCGUUACAGCCGGCGAUGUCCGAAUGGGGAAACCCAGUGCAAUUCGUUGCACUAUCGUUAACUGAAUACAUAGGUUAACGAGGCGAACCGGGGGAACUGAAACAUCUAAGUACCCCGAGGAAAAGAAAUCAACCGAGAUUCCCCCAGUAGCGGCGAGCGAACGGGGAGCAGCCCAGAGUCUGAAUCAGCUUGUGUGUUAGUGGAACGGUCUGGAAAGUCCGACGGUACAGGGUGAUAGUCCCGUACACCAAAAUGCACAGGCUGUGAACUCGAAGAGUAGGGCGGGACACGUGGUAUCCUGUCUGAAUAUGGGGGGACCAUCCUCCAAGGCUAAAUACUCCUGACUGACCGAUAGUGAACCAGUACCGUGAGGGAAAGGCGAAAAGAACCCCGGCGAGGGGAGUGAAAAAGAACCUGAAACCGUGUACGUACAAGCAGUGGGAGCACCUUCGGGUGUGACUGCGUACCUUUUGUAUAAUGGGUCAGCGACUUAUAUUCUGUAGCAAGGUUAACCGUAUAGGGGAGCCGCAGGGAAACCGAGUCUUAACUGGGCGUUAAGUUGCAGGGUAUAGACCCGAAACCCGGUGAUCUAGCCAUGGGCAGGUUGAAGGUUGGGUAACACUAACUGGAGGACCGAACCGACUAAUGUUGAAAAAUUAGCGGAUGACUUGUGGCUGGGGGUGAAAGGCCAAUCAAACCGGGAGAUAGCUGGUUCUCCCCGAAAGCUAUUUAGGUAGCGCCUCGUGAACUCAUCUUCGGGGGUAGAGCACUGUUUCGGCUAGGGGGUCAUCCCGACUUACCAACCCGAUGCAAACUACGAAUACCGAAGAAUGUUAUCACGGGAGACACACGGCGGGUGCUAACGUCCGUCGUGAAGAGGGAAACAACCCAGACCGCCAGCUAAGGUCCCAAAGUCAUGGUUAAGUGGGAAACGAUGUGGGAAGGCACAGACAGCCAGGAUGUUGGCUUAGAAGCAGCCAUCAUUUAAAGAAAGCGUAAUAGCUCACUGGUCGAGUCGGCCUGCGCGGAAGAUGUAACGGGGCUAAACCAUGCACCGAAGCUGCGGCAGCGACACUAUGUGUUGUUGGGUAGGGGAGCGUUCUGUAAGCCUGCGAAGGUGACCUGUGAGGGUUGCUGGAGGUAUCAGAAGUGCGAAUGCUGACAUAAGUAACGAUAAAGCGGGUGAAAAGCCCGCUCGCCGGAAGACCAAGGGUUCCUGUCCAACGUUAAUCGGGGCAGGGUGAGUCGACCCCUAAGGCGAGGCCGAAAGGCGUAGUCGAUGGGAAACAGGUUAAUAUUCCUGUACUUGGUGUUACUGCGAAGGGGGGACGGAGAAGGCUAUGUUAGCCGGGCGACGGUUGUCCCGGUUUAAGCAUGUAGGCUGGUUAUCCAGGCAAAUCCGGAUAAUCAAGGCUGAGGUGUGAUGACGAGGCACUACGGUGCUGAAGUAACAAAUGCCCUGCUUCCAGGAAAAGCCUCUAAGCAUCAGGUAACAUCAAAUCGUACCCCAAACCGACACAGGUGGUCAGGUAGAGAAUACCAAGGCGCUUGAGAGAACUCGGGUGAAGGAACUAGGCAAAAUGGUGCCGUAACUUCGGGAGAAGGCACGCUGGUGUGUAGGUGAAGUCCCUGCGGAUGGAGCUGAGACCAGUCGAAGAUACCAGCUGGCUGCAACUGUUUAUUAAAAACACAGCACUGUGCAAACACGAAAGUGGACGUAUACGGUGUGACGCCUGCCCGGUGCCGGAAGGUUAAUUGAUGGGGUUAUCCGUAAGGAGAAGCUCUUGAUCGAAGCCCCGGUAAACGGCGGCCGUAACUAUAACGGUCCUAAGGUAGCGAAAUUCCUUGUCGGGUAAGUUCCGACCUGCACGAAUGGCGUAAUGAUGGCCAGGCUGUCUCCACCCGAGACUCAGUGAAAUUGAACUCGCUGUGAAGAUGCAGUGUACCCGCGGCAAGACGGAAAGACCCCGUGAACCUUUACUAUAGCUUGACACUGAACAUUGAGCCUUGAUGUGUAGGAUAGGUGGGAGGCUUUGAAGCGUGGACGCCAGUCUGCGUGGAGCCAACCUUGAAAUACCACCCUUUAAUGUUUGAUGUUCUAACGUUGGCCCCUUACCGGGGUUGCGGACAGUGUCUGGUGGGUAGUUUGACUGGGGCGGUCUCCUCCCAAAGCGUAACGGAGGAGCACGAAGGUUAGCUAAUCCUGGUCGGACAUCAGGAGGUUAGUGCAAUGGCAUAAGCUAGCUUGACUGCGAGCGUGACGGCGCGAGCAGGUGCGAAAGCAGGUCAUAGUGAUCCGGUGGUUCUGAAUGGAAGGGCCAUCGCUCAACGGAUAAAAGGUACUCCGGGGAUAACAGGCUGAUACCGCCCAAGAGUUCAUAUCGACGGCGGUGUUUGGCACCUCGAUGUCGGCUCAUCACAUCCUGGGGCUGAAGUAGGUCCCAAGGGUAUGGCUGUUCGCCAUUUAAAGUGGUACGCGAGCUGGGUUUAGAACGUCGUGAGACAGUUCGGUCCCUAUCUGCCGUGGGCGCUGGAGAAUUGAGGGGGGCUGCUCCUAGUACGAGAGGACCGGAGUGGACGCAUCACUGGUGUUCGGGUUGUCAUGCCAAUGGCACUGCCCGGUAGCUAAAUGCGGAAGAGAUAAGUGCUGAAAGCAUCUAAGCACGAAACUUGCCCCGAGAUGAGUUCUCCCUGAGACUUUAAGUCUCCUGAAGGAACGUUGAAGACGACGACGUUGAUAGGCCGGGUGUGUAAGCGCAGCGAUGCGUUGAGCUAACCGGUACUAAUGAACCGUGAGGCUUAACCUU